UGUCCACCGAAAGCCUAAGGUUUCCUGGGGAAGGCUCGUCCUCCCAGGGUUAGUCGGGACCUAAGCUGAGGCCGAAAGGCGUAGGCGAUGGACAACUGGUUGAUAUUCCAGUACCACCUCUGUUCCGCUUGAGCAAUGGCGUGACGCAGGAGGAUAGGGUGAGCGGCCUAUUGGAUGGCCGUCUAAGCAGUAAGUGUGGUGUGUAGGCAAAUCCGCACACCAGUAAGCACAAGCUGUGAUGGCGAGGGAAAUAUAAGUACCGAAGUCCCUGAUUUCACACUGCCAAGAAAAGCGUCUAGCGAGGAACAAGGUGCCCGUACCGCAAACCGACACAGGUAGGCGAGGAGA
rnacentral:rRNA from 1 species